rnacentral:rRNA from 1 species
GACGAACGCUGGCGGCGUGCUUAACACAUGCAAGUCGAGCGGGGACGGAGGCUUCGGCCAAAGUUCUAGCGGCGGACGGGUGAGUAACGCGUGAGCAACCUUUCCUCUACUGGGGAAUAACACCGGGAAACUGGUACUAAUACCGCAUGAGACCACAGUGCUGCAUGGCACAGGGGUCAAAGAUUUAUCGGUAGAGGGUGGGCUCGCGUCCGAUUAGGUAGUUGGUGAGGUAACGGCCCACCAAGCCGACGAUCGGUAGCCGACCUGAGAGGGUGAUCGGCCACAUUGGGACUGAGACACGGCCCAA